GACGAACGCUGGCGGCGUGCCUAAUACAUGCAAGUCGAACGCAGUGGGGACGGGUGAGUAACACGUGGGUAACCUCCCAUCAGAGGGGAUAACACUUGGAAACAGGUGCUAAACCGAUACUGAUGGAUGGACUCGCGGUGCAUUAGCUAGUUGGUGAGGUAACGGCUCACCAAGGCCACGAUGCAUAGCCGACCGGAGAGGGUGUUCGGCCACUGUGUGGGUGAGACACGGACCGGACUCCUGCUGGAGGCAGCAGUAGUGAAUCUUCGGCAAUGGACGAGAGUCUGACCGAGCAACGCCGCGUGAGGAAAGAAGGUUUUCGGGUCGUAAAACUCUGUUGUUAGAGAAGCGGUGUCUAACCAUAAAGCCACGGCUAACUACAUGCCAGCAGCCGCGGUAAUAC
rnacentral:rRNA from 1 species